UAGGGGAGUCAGGGCCAGGAGCUCCCCCCUGAACCCCGGGUAACCCUACAAGUAGGGGAGCA
rnacentral:ncRNA from 1 species